UACGUAGGGUGCGAGCGUUGCUCGGAAUCACUGGGCGUAAAGGGUGCGUAGGCGGGUCUUUAAGUCAGGGGUGAAAUCCUGGAGCUCAACUCCAGAACUGCCUUUGAUACUGAAGAUCUUGAGUUCGGGAGAGGUGAGUGGAACUGCGAGUGUAGAGGUGAAAUUCGUAGAUAUUCGCAAGAACACCAGUGGCGAAGGCGGCUCACUGGCCCGAUACUGACGCUGAGGCACGAAAGCGUGGGGAGCAAACAGG
rnacentral:rRNA from 1 species